CUAACCAAACUCCGAAUACCCAUGAGUACUAUCCGGCAGACAGACGGCGGGUGCUAAGGUCCGUCGUCAAAAGGGAAACAGCCCUGACCUACAGCUAAGGUCCCCAAGUCACGUCUAAGUGGGAAAGCAUGUGGGAAUCCCAAAACAACCAGGAGGUUGGCUUAGAAGCAGCCAUCCUUUAAAGAAAGCGUAACAGCUCAC
rnacentral:rRNA from 14 species